AGCGAACGCUGGCGGCAGGCCUAACACAUGCAAGUCGAACGAACUCUUCGGAGUUAGUGGCGGACGGGUGAGUAACACGUGGGAACGUGCCUUUUGGUUCGGAAUAACUCAGGGAAACUUGUGCUAAUACCGAAUGUGCCCUUCGGGGGAAAGAUUUAUCGCCAUUAGAGCGGCCCGCGUCUGAUUAGCUAGUUGGUGAGGUAACGGCUCACCAAGGCGACGAUCAGUAGCUGGUCUGAGAGGAUGACCAGCCACACUGGGACUGAGACACGGCCCAGACUCCUACGGGAGGCAGCAGUGGGGAAUCUUGCGCAAUGGGCGAAAGCCUGACGCAGCCAUGCCGCGUGAAUGAUGAAGGUCUUAGGAUUGUACAAUUCUUUCACCGGGGACGAUAAUGACGGUACCCGGAGAAGAAGCCCCGGCUAACUUCGUG
rnacentral:rRNA from 1 species